CAUGCACACUGUUAAAGCUCUGGAUGGAGGCAAGUCUUGGCCAUGAACUUCUGAGUGUCAGCAGUGUGCUACAUUAACAGGCAGGCUUUUUGCUAUCACCAGUAAAGCCUGCCUCAAGGACUGGAGUUUGAUAAUACUCG